UGUAAGCGUAUACCAAAGUUGUUGCAGUUAAAACGCUCGUAGUCGGAAAUUGGCAGUUCCGGAUGUGUGCACGUCGUGUGCGCACUUCGCGGGGAUUGCUUUUGUGGUCUUGCGUAGGAUGAGGCACUUUUAUUAGUGAACGUCCUCACGCAACCACUUUUUACUGUGAGAAAAUCAGAGUGCUCAAAGCAGGCAUUUGCCGUGAAUGUAUUAGCAUGGAAUAAUAGAAUAGGACUUGGUUCUAUUUUGUUGGUUUGUUGGGACUGAGUAAUGAUUAAGAGGGACAGUUGGGGGCAUUUGUAUUUCGGUGCUAGAGGUGAAAUUCUUAGAUUACCGAAAGACAAACUGCUGCGAAAGCGUCUGCCAAGGAUGUUUUCAUUGA
rnacentral:rRNA from 1 species